GAUGAAGAACGCAGCGAAAUGCGAUAAGUAAUGUGAAUUGCAGAAUUCAGUGAAUCAUCGAAUCUUUGAACGCAUCUUGCGCUCCUUGGUAUUCCGAGGAGCAUGCCUGUUUGAGUGUCAUUUAACUUCUCAACCACAUUGGAUAUUUUUUUUCCGAUGCCGGCUUGGAUGUGGGGGUUGUUUGCAGGCUUUUUGUAACAAAAAAGGUCGGCUCCCCUGAAAUGUAUUAGUGGUAUCUGAGGCUAUUACUAUUAGGUGUGAUAAUUAUCUAUGCCUUUUGGGUAUGCCGCAUGAACAGAUUAUGCUGCUUCUAACGAAAACUAUUUUGAUGAAGUUGACCUCAAAUCAGGUAGGACUACCCGCUGAGCUUAAGCAUAUCAAUAAGCGGAGGA
rnacentral:misc_RNA from 1 species